UACGAAGGGGGCUAGCGUUGCUCGGAAAUCACUGGGCGUAAAGGGUGCGUAGGCGGGUCUUAAGUCAGGGGUGAAAUCCUGGAGCUCAACUCCAGAACUGCCUUUGAUACUGAAGAUCUUGAGUUCGGGAGAGGUGAGUGGAACUGCGAGUGUAGAGGUGAAAUUCGUAGAUAUUCGCAAGAACACCAGUGGCGAAGGCGGCUCACUGGCCCGAUACUGACGCUGAGGCACGAAAGCGUGGGGAGCAAACAGG
rnacentral:rRNA from 1 species